rnacentral:rRNA from 1 species
UGGGGAAUUUUGCGCAAUGGGGGAAACCCUGACGCAGCAACGCCGCGUGGAGGAUGAAGUCCUUUGGGACGUAAACUCCUGUCAGACGGGACGAACGGUCGGCGGAAAACAUCCGCCGGCCUUGACGGUACCGUCAGAGGAAGCCCCGGCUAACUCCGUUCCAGCAGCCGCGGUAAUACGGAGGGGGCGAGCGUUAUUCGGAAUUAUUGGGCGUAAAGGGCGCGUAGGCGGCUUGGUAAGUCAAAGGUGAAAUCCCUCGGCUCAACUGAGGAAUUGCCUUUGAAACUGCCUGGCUCGAGGCCGGGAGGGGGUAGCGGAAUUCCCAGUGUAGCGGUGAAAUGCGUAGAUAUUGGGAGGAACACCGGUGGCGAAGGCGGCUACCUGGACCGGUUCUGACGCUGAUGCGCGAAAGCGUGGGGAGCAAAC